GGCUGCCCCCAAUGCAGGACUCGAACCCACGAACCAUGAGAUCAUGGCCUGAAGUGCGUCGCUUAACUGACUGAGCCACCUAGGCGUCCGAGAAAUCCUGUUGUUCUUCAGGAUCCAAGUAUCAUUUAAUUUUAUCUGAUUUCCAUGUUAUGUGUAGAUCACAAACUUUGCGAUAGGAUUUGGUCACCAUUUACCAACCUGCCUUGAUGUCACCUCUUCCACAGGCCAUCAACCGCCAUCAUUAAGAAUCCUACAAAAAGCAAAGUUAAAAACCAAGUCCCUGGCAAGAAAGUGAACACCUCCUCUUUCCCGAGACCCCCCCCACCUCUUCCCCUGUUCCCUAGCUGUGUCAGUACUAGUUUCAUGGGCAUGGAGGGCUUGCUACUUUCAUCCCCCACCAAGUCCCAAAAGGGAAAAGACCUACCACCUAGCAACCCCCUGCCCCUCAGCCCCAUCCCCCAUGUUGAUCCUGGUUACAGAAAGCCAAGGUAAGAAUUAUUGCGAUCCAGUAAGAGUUCUGAACCCCAGAAGGCCAUGGCCAGGGCACAGUCCAUGAAGAAUGCUUCGUCCUCCUGCUCGGUGCCCCCUUGGAACCCUGUUGGGCCCAGUACCUGGGAGUAGAGAAAGAAAUCAAUGAAAACCCAUCACCUUCAACCCAAUUGCCCCAGGAACAAGAGAAUCAAGGCUGACACAUAAGGUUGAGCAGGUUGUACGUAGCACAAAGAUGCCCCAUCUAAGCAGGCACCGUUAUCCUUAUGGACAUCAUGUAUAGGUCUUAUAUUUAUCACAGACAUUUAUUGUAAACAGGGCAAGCAGCCUCCCUGUCCCACAUUCCUGCUGUUACCACCUCACUCCCAGAGGUCAGCUGCAUACUCUCAGUCCAGGGAGAAUCAGAGGUCAGGGCUUUAUCCGGUAGCUGGUGCAGAUAAAUACAAUCAGACUUGAAGGGGCAGCGGCCAUUCCCCUGCAUGAAGAACCGACAUCGGAUCUGGCUAUGAGAGGACAGAAGGAGAGAAGACCAUUACUUCAAGCCCUGUUGCCCCAGGAACAAGGAGCACUGAAGGCUGACGCGUAAGGCUGGGUACUGUGUGCUAAGCACAUCACAUUUAUGAAUUCACUGCACCCUCACAAGACCUGAGACAGGUACUGUUAUCACUGAGGACACAGAGGUCCAGAGAGGUUAAGUGACUCAUCCGAGCCCACACAGCUACUAAGUGGCAGAGCCAGCAUUUGAGACUAGGUGGUUUGACUCCUCAGGCACCAUGAAAUUCUGCUUCUAGCACACAGACAACAACAGAGCUGGAAGGCCCCUGAUGACUCACAUGAUGGUGACGGGGACUUCCAGGAACUACCAUCAACCUCCUCCGCCUUGCCGGCCAACCCCACCAGGCCAGGCUCCAUACCCCAGCAGGCCCCCGGCCAGUCCCAACCCACAGCCACAGAGGGCAGAUGGAUGACAUUGGACGCAUGGAAAGAAGAAUGGACUUAUUCACAUCUAGCCACUUACCUGCCAUUACUGGUCUGCCUACACAGCAAGUGUAGGACCCAAAGCAAGCAGGAUUCAGAUUUCUACCCAGAGCUACAGCCUGCCCCAGCCCAGUGCUCUGUGGUGCCUUAUAAUCAUCCUCACUGCCUGGCUUGGAAAAAAUGAGAAGCUGCUACAGGAAGACUGAGGGCAAGUUCUUGUGGGCUGAGGGCUUUGAACACAUCCCUCAAAAUCUUGCCUGAAGGGCCAGCCUUGGAGAGGAAAGAUUCAGAAAUGACAAAAUGCAUUUGAUUUAGUGAUGUAACUUGUCUCUAAAAACAUCUUUUAAAAAUA